GAUGAAGAACGUAGCGAAAUGCGAUAACUAAUGUGAAUUGCAGAAUUCAGUGAAUCAUCGAGUCUUUGAACGCACAUUGCGCCCCCUGGUAUUCCGGGGGGCAUGCCUGUCCGAGCGUCAUUGCUGCCCUCAAGCACGGCUUGUGUGUUGGGCUCCGUCCCCCCGGGGACUGGCCCGAAAGGCAGCGGCGGCACCGAGUCCGGUCCUCGAGCGUAUGGGGCUUUGUCACCCGCUCUGUAGGCCCGGCCGGCGCCAGCCGACAACCCAUCAUCCUUUUCAGGUUGACCUCGGAUCAGGUAGGGAUACCCGCUGAACUUAAGCAUAUCAAUAAGCGGAGGA
rnacentral:misc_RNA from 1 species